rnacentral:rRNA from 1 species
UACGAAGGGUGCAAGCGUUACUCGGAAUUACUGGGCGUAAAGCGUGCGUAGGUGGUUCGUUAAGUCCGAUGUGAAAGCCCUGGGCUCAACCUGGGAAUGGCAUUGGAUACUGGCGGGCUAGAGUGCGGUAGAGGAUGGCGGAAUUCCCGGUGUAGCAGUGAAAUGCGUAGAGAUCGGGAGGAACAUCCGUGGCGAAGGCGGCCAUCUGGACCAGCACUGACACUGAGGCACGAAAGCGUGGGGAGCAAACA